rnacentral:sRNA from 1 species
GCGCAGCUCCGAGGGCUGGCGGCUCCGGGCGCCCUGGCUUCCGCGCCCACUGGUUGCUCGCUCCGGGGCAGGGCUCGCGAUAGCGAGCGGGAGCAGGGCGCGGGGCGGCACCGGGUCCGAAGCGAGGAAGCCGGAAGCCAGGCGCGGAGAGCCUCCCCCUUCGACUGCGGCCUCGCUUGGCGCCUUCUGCGCGCUUGGGAUCCCGGAGCCUACCUAGGUUCUGCGUGCUCCCGCCCAGGCCGGUGCCCGCUGCCCGCCUGCGCCCCAGGCGGGUCUCAGGCCCCGGCUGCUCCCGGCCGAAGCCCCGAGUGCGAGAUUGAGCGUCCUGAGCGCCUGACCGCAGCCCUGGACCGCCUGCGGCAGCGCGGCCUGGAACAGAGGUGUCUGCUGUUGUCAGCCCGCGAGGCCUCGGAAGAGGAGCUGGGCCUGGUGCACAGCCCAGAGUAUGUAUCCCUGGUCAGGGAGACCCAGGUCCUAGGCAAGGAGGAGCUGCAGGCGCUGUCCGGACAGUUCGACGCCAUCUGCUUCCACCCGAGUACCUUUCACUGUGCGCGGCUGGCCGCAGGGGCUGGACUG